rnacentral:rRNA from 1 species
UACGUAGGGUGCGAGCGUUGUCCGGAAUUAUUGGGCGUAAAGAGCUCGUAGGCGGUGUGUCACGUCGUUCGUGAAAACCUGCAGCUUAACUGUGGGCGUGCGGUCGAUACGGGCAUCACUGGAGUUCGGCAGGGGAGACUGGAAUUCCUGGUGUAGCGGUGAAAUGCGCAGAUAUCAGGAGGAACACCGGUGGCGAAGGCGGGUCUCUGGGCCGACAUUGACGCUGAGGAGCGAAAGCGUGGGGAGCGAACAGG